rnacentral:rRNA from 1 species
ACGUAGGGUGCAAGCGUUAAUCGGAAUUACUGGGCGUAAAGCGUGCGCAGGCGGCUUUGCAAGACAGAUGUGAAAUCCCCGGGCUCAACCUGGGAACUGCAUUUGUGACUGCAUGGCUAGAGUGCGGCAGAGGGGGAUGGAAUUCCGCGUGUAGCAGUGAAAUGCGUAGAUAUGCGGAGGAACACCGAUGGCGAAGGCAAUCCCCUGGGCCUGCACUGACGCUCAUGCACGAAAGCGUGGGGAGCAAACAGGA